rnacentral:rRNA from 1 species
UACGUAGGGUCCGAGCGUUUGUCCGGAAUCACUGGGCGUAAAGGGCGCGUAGGUGGCGGCAUAAGGCCGUGGUGAAAGUCUGGGGCUCAACCCCCAGAUCGGCCAUGGCGACUGUGUCGCUAGGGUACUGUAGAGGCAGGUGGAAUUCCGGGUGUAGCGGUGGAAUGCGUAGAGAUCAGGCAGAAACACCUGGGGGCGAAGGCGGCCCGGC